UUUUUUUUAAACGUCAAAUUUUAUUUGAUUUUUUUUAUUAAUUCUUUUUUGUUGCAGAGUAUAAAUCAAAUUGGUGUUAUUAUCCAUGUUUAAACAUGAAUUUAAACGAAGAAAAACCGAAUGAAUUACCUUUUUAUUACUAAAGUGUGGGUUACGAUUUAUCAAUCGGAAUGAAACUUGUACUUUCAUUCACGAAAUCAUUAAAAAAACCGAUUGUGGAGAUGUUUUAAGGAUUAGAACUUAAAUUGAUUUAAUUAUGAUCAAAAUAAGAUGUUACAACAACAAAAUUAAGACUAUAAAUAUAAGUGGUGUUAUAAUCCAUGUUUAAACAUGAAUUUAAACGAAGAAAAACCGAAUGAAUUACCUUUUUAUUACUAAAGUGUGGGUUACGAUUUAUCAAUCGGAAUGAAACGUCUUGUACUUUGAUUCACGAAAUCAUUAAAAAAACCGAUUGUGGAGAUGUUUUAAGGAUUAUAACUUAAACUGAUUUAAUUAUGAUCAAAAUACGAUGUUAUAACAACAAAAUUAAGGUAAUUAAGUUAAUAAAUUUAUUAAUUUAAGUUGA
rnacentral:lncRNA from 1 species